UGGCGUCCGAUGUGCUUCCACAAGUCAGUGUGGCAACCGAUAUUGCUGCUUGAGCACGGGCGUCAGUCAUCCUACUUGUCAACCUCUUGCAGCAGUCGGCCAACGGUGCAGCAGGGCACUUUUUGGUAACGUGUACCGUCGUUUCUGCCCGUGUAAAAAUCCAGCGCGUUGCAACAGGAGGCGUGUUUGCGAAUGAAUGCAGAGGUAAUCUCCAACAGUGCCACUGUCUGGAAGAGCAAAAUAAUAAAUAAAAGCUAAUUUAU
rnacentral:lncRNA from 1 species